CCGUCUUUUCUUUCUUUUAUCUCGAAAUCGUCAGCUUCGUUGCCUUCUAGCUUCGUCAUACCAACUUUUUGACUAAAUUAGGAAAAAAGAUCUGAGUUCGCCAUUAAAGUACAUCAGAGACAAAGACAAAAGAUUAUCUGAAAACGUUUUUUUUUAGUUUCUGAGAGAGAAAGACAGACAGAUUGAGAAGAUGUUGGAAGGAAAAGCAAUGGUUGAAGAUUCAGAUAUGCCAGUGAAGAUGCUGAAAGUUACACAGAGACUGACGAAGAAGAUAGCUUUUAUUUUAUUAAUGCUUUUCAACUUAGGAAAACAAAUACAGAACUGAUGUUCUUUUAUACACAAAAUCCGAUCUUAUC